GAAAUGCGAUAAGUAAUGUGAAUUGCAGAAUUCAGUGAAUCAUCGAAUCUUUGAACGCACAUUGCGCCCGCCAGUAUUCUGGCGGGCAUGCCUGUCCGAGCGUCAUUUCAUCCAUCAAGCCCCCGGGCUUGUGUUGGGGACCUGCGGCUGCCCGCAGGCCCUGAAAACCAGUGGCGGGCUCGCUGUCACACCGAGCGUAGUAGCAAUCACCUCGCUCAGGGCGUGCUGCGGGUUCCGGCCGUUAAACAGCCUUACAAAACCCAAGGUUGACCUCGGAUCAGGUAGGAAGACCCGCUGAACUUAAGC
rnacentral:misc_RNA from 1 species